CCACCCCUGAUUUCUGUCCCCAGCCUCCCGUCUCUCUCUUCCUUCUUCUUCGUCUCUCUCUCCCGUAACUCUCCCUUAGCUCUCUCCCUCUCAGCUCUCCCGUACCUCUCUCCCUCAACCUCUUGCAUCUCUCUCUUCCCCUGGACUCACUAGGACCGAGUCACCAUCGAAGAGAGGCUCGCAACGAACCCCGGACCCUGCCCUGCGAGUUCGACGGCACGGAGUAAGCUCCGGCGACUUUCGAGGCCAUUUCCGGCCAAACCACGGAGAGUUGGCCGGCGUGUAAGUUUCCGGUGAGUCCGACGGCUUUCGAGGAAUUUUCCGGCCAAACCACGGCGAGUUAGAUGUCGUGUGAGGGGCAAUUAUUGUGACGUUUCCGUCUUUGCUAGUGGCGCAG